UCGCGGCUACCAUGCAGUCGAACGGAAAGGCCCUGCUUUUGUGGGGUGCUCGAGUGGCGAACGGGUGAGUAACACGUGAGUAACCUGCCCUUGACUUUGGGAUAACUUCAGGAAACUGGGGCUAAUACCGGAUAGGAGCUCCUGCUGCAUGGUGGGGGUUGGAAAGUUUCGGCGGUUGGGGAUGGACUCGCGGCUUAUCAGCUUGUUGGUGGGGUAGUGGCUUACCAAGGCCUUGACGGGUAGCCGGCCUGAGAGGGUGACCGGCCACAUUGGGACUGAGAUACGGCCCAGACUCCUACGGGAGGCAGCAGUGGGGAAUAUUGCACAAUGGGCGGAAGCCUGAUGCAGCAACGCCGCGUGCGGGAUGACGGCCUUCGGGUUGUAAACCGCUUUCGCCUGUGACGAAGCGUGAGUGACGGUAAUGGGUAAAGAAGCACCGGCUAACUACGUGCCAGCAGCCGCGGUGAUACGUAGGGUGCGAGCGUUGUCCGGAUUUAUUGGGCGUAAAGGGCUCGUAGGUGGUUGAUCGCGUCGGAAGUGUAAUCUUGGGGCUUAACCCUGAGCGUGCUUUCGAUACGGGUUGACUUGAGGAAGGUAGGGGAGAAUGGAAUUGCCUGGUGGACGCGGUGGAAAUGCGCAGAUAUCAGGAGGAACACCAGUGGCGAAGGCGGCUCUCUGGGCCUUUCCUGACGCUGAGGAGCGAAAGCGUGGGGAGCGAACAGGCUUAGAUACCCUGGUAGUCCACGCUGUAAACGGUGGGUACUAGGUGUGGGGUCCAUUCCACGGGUUCCGUGCCGUAGCUAACGCUUUAAGUACCCCGCCUGGGGAGUACGGCCGCAAGGCUAAAACUCAAAGGAAUUGACGGGGCCC
rnacentral:rRNA from 1 species